UCUCCUUCUUCGCCGUCAGGCAUUUUGUCUGCUUUAGAAGAGUGUUUUUUUCUAUAUUUCAAAUUUAAAUUACUCGUAAUUUUCUCCAUUGCAGAAUCUAAAUAAAAAAUGCAUGAUUAUUUUUACCUAAGAACUUUGGGACUGACAUUUUCACGUUUAGUGAAUUUAUUGAUAAACAACAUAAAUAUAUGUACACGUAAACAUCUUCAAAACAUUGAUAAAAAUGUCAAAAAUGACAAUAGAAAAUCCCUUUCUCUCAUAUGUCAUAUAGCCUCGGUCUUAGCACAGUCAGCGAACAUAAAAGUGAAUAAAUGUGUAAACAUGUGUGAGCAUCAACAAACCUUGAAAUAUCAAAACAUAUAUUUUAUUAUAAAAAUUUAAAAUAACCCUUAAGCGAAUCGAAUACAAGAAAAAGAGAAUUGUCAGAAAUAAUUGACAUUCAGAAACAACAAAGCUAUCAAUAGACCUAAACAAUAAGUGGUAGGUGACUGCAUAUUUGGAUUUGAAGAUUGUUUGUGAUAUGAUAAAUGAGAGCAAAACCACAUAGGUGGUAUGUGGAUAAAACUUAGUAUGGCUAAUUAUGGUGAUGCGAAAUGAAUAUGGUUUUAUUUUCCAGAUGAUAACUCAAAAACUGUUAGUUACCGUAAUAGUAACUAUUUACUUUAAUUUUUAAGUUCUCUAGAGCCAAUAAUACAAUGAAAGAGAUUUUCUAAUUUUUUUAGUUAUAACACUAUUUGAUCAUAGGUGUGAUGCCUAAUUCCUAGUUUUAACAAUUUAUCUGUCAAUGAUUUGCUGCUAAAAAGUUAUCAUCAGUUAUUCCUCUACUGGGUUAAUGAUAUAAUUCUACCAAAUCAGAUGCAACUGGUUUCCCCAGUUCUUAUUCAAGAAAUGGCCCUAUUUUUAGUGAACUGUAAAUCAGCGAUUUUAUAAUAUCGGUAAAAUACCGGUAUCAGUGAACCUGUCACACAUAUUACAGCGAACUUCUUGACAGUAAAUUAUACAACACAUUUAAAUUGCAACUAAUUUCUAAUUUAAAACUUAAUAUAACUAGUUCCAUAAUAUAUUUUGAGGAAGGAUUACAAAAAGUUUUCACACCUACAAUUGUAAACACCUUCGGUAAAGCUAGGGUCAAGCCAGCAAAUUUUUAUGAGCAAAUUCAUAUAAAUGUUAAACCAUGACAAUUAUAUUUUUGAAGAUUUUUUUAUUUGAUUGUAAAAAAAUGUUCCAAUAGUGUUACAAUUAUUCCAUCAGAGAUUACUUUUUUACUAUCAAUAGUUUCAUCUAAUAGGGAAUUUCUGAAACCAUUCAUACUUAACCCACUACUUACUAUUACUAUUCCAUUACUUAUACUAUCCGACAAAUGUUACAUUGUUUUUAGAGACUUAAGGUAAAUUAUACAGUUCAACAUAGUGAAUAAAUUGAAAAACUCAGGUCUGUAACGACUGAGUUGCCAGUGGAUCUACUAGGACGAAUGAGUUGGAAUCAAAUUUUUGAAAAAAUAAUAAUAUUUUUGUUCUAUUACGACUUAAUCACAACCAAGCAGAAAAAUUUCAAAGACCUUAAUAAGAAACAAAUCCACUUGAUCUACACCAAAAGAAAUCUUCAACAUUGAAUACGUCAUAGAAAGCUAUGAUGAUACGAAGGAUUCGAUGAAGAAACUGCUUACAAAAAUUAAAAUUGUCAACAAAAAUUCCACUUCAAUAUAACAAAAGUAACAGAACUAACAACUAAUUGUUACCCUUAUGUCACAAGAUAAUGUGGGAGUGAAAGAAAAUAAUAAAUUAUUGAUACAAAUGAUGCGAUGUCUUUUGAUAUACGAUUCUAUUGAAUUGGGGUUUGAUGUCACAUAGCAAUUAGUCAAAUGUCAAAACCCAAUGGAAAUCUUGAAUGUAGAAGAGCUGGAAUUGUAAUUCGUAGUUUUUCAAAGCGAAUUAAAAACAUUAAGUGUCUAUAGCCUGUGUACGGUGAUAAGAGAAAGUAGCAACACGUCAAUAUUUGUUGUGAAUAAUGAGAGGUUUAAAAACGUUUAAAAAUAUUCUGUCUUGUUUAAACUUUUCAUUUGUUAAAAUAAAUUUAUAUUACCUAAAGCCGACAUAAAUGCA